CGGGAGGCAGCAGUGAGGAAUAUUGCGCAAUGGAGGCAACUCUGACGCAGCCAUGCCGCGUGAAGGAAUGAAGGUCCUAUGGAUUGUAAACUUCUUUUAUAUGGGAAGAAACGCAGAUACGUGUAUUUGUUUGACGGUACCAUACGAAUAAGCACCGGCUAACUCCGUGCCAGCAGCCGCGGUAAUACGGAGGGUGCAAGCGUUAUCCGGAUUCAUUGGGUUUAAAGGGUACGUAGGCGGAUAAGUAAGUCAGUGGUGAAAUCCCGAGGCUCAACCUCGGAACUGCCAUUGAUACUGUUUAUCUUGAAUUUGGUUGAAGUGGGCGGAAUACGACAUGUAGCGGUGAAAUGCAUAGAUAUGUCGUGGAACACCGAUAGUGAAGACAGCUCACUAAGCCAACAUUGACGCUGAGGUACGAAAGCAUGGGGAGCGAACAGGAUUAGAUACCCUGGUAGUCCAUGCCGUAAACGAUGAUUACUAGCUAUUGGCGAUACACAGUCAGUGGCAAAGCGAAAGCAUUAAGUAAUCC
rnacentral:rRNA from 1 species